GGCUCUAUGGUGGAAUUGGUAGACACGUCAGGUUUAAGCCCUGAUGCUCAGUGAUGGGCGUGUGAGUUCGAGUCUCACUGGAGCUA
rnacentral:tRNA from 1 species